CUCAGCUCAAUUCCAAGAUUAUCAAGUUCGUAGAUUCUCGAGCAGCAAAGGAGUGUGGGAUUUUCUCGCUAGUUUUCAGAAACAGAGCAAAGAGGCAGAGAAAAAUUUGAGGCGAUGGUGCUGGGGGUGUUGAAGGGGCAGCCGCUGGUCACGAAGGUGGCAGCAGUGGCGAAAUACGGCGUGCUUCCGGGAGCAAUGAUCGCCGCCCUUGUCUACUCGCCGCCCGAUUACGCUUUGUCCAAAAAACCAUCUGAUUCAGGAUCGUCAAGCUUGUCCCGUUAGGCAAAAAAGCUCUUUUUGGCUGGUUACGCAUACAUCUUCCAGUUGGACUCGUGAUAGAGAUAUUGCAUGUAAUAAAUGUAAUGCUGCUUUCCUGCUGUAAAACUGUUGUAAACAUUGGGGAAUCUUUCAAGUCUCUCGAGGAAAUGUGUUUCUUCCUUUAUUAUGUUUUGUCUUAUAUUUCGAUAGAAUUUUGAUAAAUGCGCAUGAUUUUGUAUCAAGCUCUGUAUUGACUUCAAUUUCAAGACUUUAUGCAGUCCCCAUUGAUAAA